UAGCUAAUAACCGGAUAAACAACAAGAUGAUGCCUAUCAACUGUUUAAAAGUAAUGGUUCUGCUAUCACUCUUGGAUGGACCUGCGGUGCAUUAGCUAGUUGGUAGGGGUAACGGCCUACCAAGGCGAUGAUGCAUAGCCGAGUUGAGAGACUGAUCGGCCACAUUGGGACUGAGACACGGCCCAAACUCCUACGGGAGGCAGCAGCA
rnacentral:rRNA from 1 species